UACAUAGGGUGCAAGCGUUGUUCGGAAUCAUUGGGCGUAAAGGGCUCGUAGGCGGUUUAGUAAGUCGACUGUGAAAUCCCUGGGCUCAACCCAGGAACUGCGGUUGAUACUACUGAACUAGAGUGCUAGAGGGGUUCGUGGAAUACUCGGUGUAGCGGUGAAAUGCGUAGAUAUCGAGUGGAAUAUCAGAGGCGAAGGCGACGAACUGGAUAGUAACUGACACUCAACUGCGAAAGCGUGGGUAGCAAACAGG
rnacentral:rRNA from 1 species